UCUACAAUCAGGCCAAGUACCAAAAUCAUCAUUGUUGUCAGCUCAUUUGUUUCAUCAACCAAAUUUACAGACAGCAUAGAAAUUUUGGCGACAAUACCAUCCUCCGCAAGUUUUCCAACUGUGCCUACGAGUAGGGAACACACAGUCACAGCAGUUACGUUUACCACCACGCAAAGCGUCGAUCAAAGAGCAAACCAAUAUGUAACUUCUUCAUCUUUACCUAUGGGUAGUGAUCAAUGCAAGCAUGAUGCUAAAUCAAAACUACACCAUCACGUUUGGCUGUUGAUAUGGAUUGGUGGUGGGAUGUUUGUUUUGAUGCUGCUUUUCAUCGUUGCUUUGUUAUAUUAUAAAAACAGAAUGCUAACGAGGCGAGUAAGGUCUAUGAAGGACUUUAGUCUUCCGAUUAAAGAAAAUGGGGACUGGAUAGAUAAUCAAGACAUUUCUCUUUGGCACAAGAGAGCUUCAGAAUUUAUGUCUGAAAAUCCUGUUGCCCUAGAAAAUCUUAAUGAUACUACUUAGUUAUGAAGGCAUUAACAUUCAUUACAUACAGCUGGAAAAUCUAUCUUUCUAAAACCAUACUAUCACGUAUUUAGUUUUACUUAAGAUGUGUUUUAAUCAAAUAUUGGUAGGUAUAGUGCAAUAUCGAACAAAGCCAACUUUCAAAGAUUCUUUGCUGCAUUUCAAGAAUGGACUUGAAAUUUCAAAUAAUUGUUAGUAGCUAGUAGUCACUACACUGUAAAUUUUAGGGGGUAAAAGUGAUCUUUUUUAGGGUAGUAUUUACUACCUUCAGAAGGGUAAUUGACUAAAGAGUAAUAUUUACUCUAAAA